rnacentral:rRNA from 1 species
GAGUUUGAUCCUGGCUCAGAUUGAACGCUGGCGGCAGGCCUAACACAUGCAAGUCGAGCGAUAACGGUCUUCGGACUUAUUAAAGCGGCGGACGGGUGAGUAACGCGUGGGAAUCUACCAAGUAGUGGGGGACAACAGUUGGAAACGACUGCUAAUACCGCAUACGCCCUAAGGGGGAAAGCAGGGGAUCUUCGGACCUUGCGCUAUUUGAUGAGCCCGCGUUAGAUUAGCCAGAUGGUGGGGUAAAGGCCUACCAUGGCGACGAUCUAUAGCUGGUCUGAGAGGAUGAUCAGCCACACUGGAGCUGAGACACGGUCCAGACUCCUACGGGAGGCAGCAGUGGGGAAUAUUGCACAAUGGGGGAAACCCUGAUGCAGCCAUGCCGCGUGUGUGAAGAAGGCUCUAGGGUUGUAAAGCACUUUCAGCGAGGAGGAAAGGAUUGUAGUUAAUAUCUGCAAUCUGUGACGUUACUCGCAGAAGAAGCACCGGCUAACUCCGUGCCAGCAGCCGCGGUAAUACGGAGGGUGCAAGCGUUAAUCGGAAUUACUGGGCGUAAAGCGCGCGUAGGCGGUUUGUUAAGCGAGAUGUGAAAGCCCAGGGCUCAACCUUGGAAUUGCAUUUCGAACUGGCAAGCUAGAGUACAGUAGAGGGUGGUGGAAUUUCCAGUGUAGCCGGUGAAAU